rnacentral:rRNA from 1 species
GUCCACGCCCUAAACGAUGAUUACUCGAUGUGUGCAAUACACCGUACGCGUCUGAGCGAAAGCAUUAAGUAAUCCACCUGGGGAGUACGACCGCAAGGUUGAAACUCAAAGGAAUUGACGGGGGCACGCACAAGCGGAGGAGCAUGUGGUUUAAUUCGAUGAUACGCGAGGAACCUUACCAGGGCUUGAAAGUUAAGGAAUGAUGUAGAAAUAUGUCAGUCAGCAAUGACCUAAAACUAGGUGCUGCAUGGCUGUCGU